AACAACCACCACAUCUCAUCUUAAUUACUCAUAAUGAAAAAACACCAGAACGUGGUAUACCCUAAUGAUAUCCCAAAAAUUUCCCCUUGAUUUCCCAUCACUCUCAAUUUGCACAUGAUUUCCUAUCGCUCUCAAUAUAUUGUAGAGAGAGAACAGCCAAGAUUGACCCUUCAAUCACCUUUGUCUUGGUUCACCGAUCAAACUGUCAGAGACACCGUUCGAUUGCUAUUUAUUUCUCUGCUUGAUUAUUCUUAAAUUAGCUGAGGCUUUUUAUUAAUCAUCGACUUGGAUCUCUAGUAAGAAAGUCUAAAGUUGGGUUAUGUCAUUGCCAUUUCUAUUUCCUUUUGUUCGAAACAUAAUUUUUUACUUUUUUCAUAGUUGGAUUAGUUCUGUUCUUUUAUGGUUUAUUCAUAUUUGUAACUUUUUUUUUUUUAUAUUAAUAAUGAUGCAUUUUACUUAGAUUUAGAACUUUUAAAUACUGUAUUGCAUAUUAUAAAAUCUGUCAUUUGGUCAUAGUAAUUAUUUGCCUUAAUUCACAUUUAUGACAUUCACAAACAUAUAUGUUUAGCAAAAGUAGCCCUUUACUAAACGAAGUUGGGCUGAAUUGUACACUAUUAUUUGGUUUCACACUUUAGUAAAAUGAAGUCAGUGUAUGUGUAAUAAGAGACUGAUGUAUUGUUGGGCUCAAUCAAUCUAAAUUCAAGAGAAAGUGAAGAGGCAAUACUUUUUUUUAUUGCAAAUACUGGGCAGCCUUCCCUUCCACCCCCAAAAUUAAUCUAGUUAGCGUUAUAGAAUGAUAAAUUUUUUAAAUUAAGACAAAUAUUUUAGGACUUUGAAUACUUUCUUGUAAUUUCUUAUUUUUUAAUAGUGAACUUAUUGUUUUUGGGAUGAUGUAUCAAUAUUUAUUCUUCCCCUUUUUCUCUCAAUUUUUUUGAAAACUCCCUUGUUUGACAUUCGAUAUGGUUUUUGGAAGGCUACUUUAUGGUAAGUAAUUAUAUCUCUCUUAGAUUCAAUUCAAUUUUUAUAAUUUUUUUUUUAUCAAUAUUUUUUACUAGGGAAACACUUCAUUUUGCAGGUAAUUCAGCUUGUUAAGAGAAUUGUUUCUUAAUUUGAUGGAGUGUUCUAUGGGGCGAUUGAUUGGGGAUGACAUGAAGAAAACGAAGUACUCAGGGAAACGACGAACUAAAGAGAUGAGAACUUUGAAGUGCUACCAUAGAUGGAGAUCGAGUUGGGGGUUUGCUUUUAUGUUAUAGUUCUGUCAUUUGUAUUAGACAAUUGGAAAUUUAGUUUAAAUUUUGUUUUAGAAUUGAACAAAUGUAGAAAUUUAUUCAAAUUUAUGUUAAGUUUGUACUUGAACACAGAAUUAUUAUG